rnacentral:tRNA from 2 species
CAAAGAAUAGUUUAACUUAGAAUCCUGGCUUUGGGAGCCAGGGGUGGGAGUUAAAAUCUCUUUUCUUUGA